rnacentral:lncRNA from 1 species
CCAUGUUUUCUUCUGAAACAUCCUUCUCAUUUUGCUUCUUUUCCUGCUCCUCAUCUCCAGUUUUUUCCAUCUCAAAAUGUAUUACUCUCCGGCAAGAUUUUGUUUUAGUUGCAGUGUUCGAAUCUUUAAUCUCCACAACAUUCGCAGGUGGAGUAGUAGCUUCUUUGAUGUUUUUCUUCCGUACAUAUUUUCUCUUUCCUGAUGGAGUUUCCUUGGAAAUCUUCGGAGUCACAGGCUUAGGAGACUUUUUGGGUUUUCCUUCCUUUAUAACCUUGGGCCUAUGUUUUCUUCGCUUAGGUGUCUUCUGCUCUGGUGUCUUGUUAAGAUCAAUUGCUUGAUCGCUGCCCUUUUCCACUUCCUUCGUUGGUUCAGAAAUGGCUGCAGAUAAUGUAUCUGUGAGAUCUUUCAAUAGUUCAUCAUGUCGUUUCUGAGUUGCUUCAUCUAGUGGAACUGUGACAAAAUUCUCCUGUGUUUCUUCGUAAAGGCUUAAAUUUCCAUCCAAUGGAAGAUUAAGUAAAUCCGUAAACCUUUCUCCUGAGAAUACCGUGGGAGUAUGCUGUCUUCUUUUUGGUGGUCUCUGCUCUGGUGUCCUGUUGAGAUCAAUUUCUAGAUCUUUCUGCUUCACG